rnacentral:rRNA from 1 species
CGGGGUGAGUAAUGUCUGGGAAACUGCCUGAUGGAGGGGGGUAACUACUGGAAACGGUAGCUAAUACCGCAUAACGUCGCAAGACCAAAGAGGGGGACCUUCGGGCCUCUUGCCAUCGGAUGUGCCCAGAUGGGAUUAGCUAGUAGGUGGGGUAACGGCUCACCUAGGCGACGAUCUCUAGCUGGUCUGAGAGGAUGACCAGCCACACUGGAACUGAGACACGGUCCAG